rnacentral:rRNA from 1 species
CCUACGGGAGGCAGCAGUGGGGGAUAUUGCACAAUGGGGGAAACCCUGAUGCAGCGACGCCGCGUGAGUGAAGAAGUAUUUCGGUAUGUAAAGCUCUAUCAGCAGGGAAGAAAAUGACAGUACGUGACCAAGAAGCCCCGGCUAACUACGUGCCAGCAGCCGCGGUCAUACGUAGGGGGCAAGCGUUAUCCAGAUUUACUGUGUGUAAAGGGAGCGUCAACGGUUAUGUAAGAAUGGAGUGAAAGCCCGGGGCCCAACCCCGGGACUGCUUUGGAAGCUGUGUAACUGGAGUACAGGAGGGGCAGGCGGAAUUCCUGGUGGAGCGGUGAAAUGCGUAGAUAUCAGGAGGGACACCGGCGGCGAAGGCGGCCUGCUGGACUGAAACUGACGUUGAGGCUCGAAAGCGUGGGGGGCAAACAGGAUUGGAUACCCCUUGUAGUC